CAGGACAUCACAAAAGCAAGAAAGAUACCGAAGCGUGCUUUACCUAUUAUUUGCUUCAGAGAAAUCAGCCCCCCAUUGUCGGAUGCUUCAAACACUUCCAUUAUAGAUUCAGGGGGGAAGAGUUAUGGCUGUUCUGAAAAUGCGGGUGCUGCAGGAACGUAUUACGAUGCUGUGCCUCGAAGCCUUAUUGUUAGCAAUGACAACUUAUCUACUCAGACGGAUACACUUCUUCUAACAUUUCCCAAGCAGCCUCUUUGGACAAAUGUGUACAUUCAAAACCAUGCUAAGGCUUUGGUUCCUUUGUUUUGGAGCCGUGUACAGGUUCAAGGACAAAUUCAUUUAUCAGUUGGUGCAGUCCUGUCCUUUGGGCUUGCUCAUUACGCAUCAUCGGAA